UCGGCUAGUGGGGGAAGUCGAAGGGGGAAACAGAGCAAGAAAGUGACGAGAUAGAGAGAGAGAGGAAGUGUCGAGAUAGCAAGGAAGAGCUCCACUUUGCUCUCCGAUUCGAUGGUUGACCAAUUCAGCUCCCUGCUCUUCCUCCGACCAGCAGCAGAGCCCUCCCCGAAAGAGAGGAAUCGAGACUCCAAGAUUGUAGUAUUCGGAGUUUUAUAGAGAGAGAGCCGAGCUUCCGAAGUUGGGUCAUCGCUUAGUCUGGGUCUGUUUUGCAACAGCCUGCACCAGCAAUUUCAGGAGGCUCGUCAGGCUCGCUCAGACAUCGGAUUGCAGUGAUUUUUGUUCGUAUAGAUUCGUGUUUGAAUCUACUAUUUUAGGGAUCGUGGAGACUGAAUCCUUGCACUCUAAAGGGUUGCCUCAGUUUGCUAUCUUUCUAGGGAUUUCGAUAAGCUUCUAGCUGCGCAGGAGAAUCAUUUUUGAUAUCGGGGAUCAGCUCGGAGAACUAGGUAGGGACUUUAGUUAUUUGAUAGGUAUUCUUUUUGUAUAAAAUGUAUUUGAAAAUGUUACGACCUGAAACUUUUGUCUAGUUGGUUUAGUGAUGUAGCUCUGCUGGA